CGAAAGCCUGACGGAGCAACGCCGCGUGAGGGAGGAAGGCUCUUGGGUUGUAAACCUCUUUUGUUAGGGAAGAAGCGAGUGACGGUACCUAACGAAUCAGCAUCGGCUAACUCCGUGCCAGCAGCCGCGGUAAUACGGAGGAUGCAAGCGUUAUCCGGAAUUAUUGGGCGUAAAGCGUCCGCAGGUGGUUUUUCAAGUCGGCGGUCAAAGACCGAAGCUUAACUUCGGAAAGGCAGUGGAAACUGAAAAACUAGAGAUCAGUAGGGGUAGCGGGAAUUCCCAGUGUAGCGGUGAAAUGCGUAGAGAUUGGGAAGAACAUCGGUGGCGAAAGCGCGCUACUGGGCUGAGACUGACACUGAGGGACGAAAGCUAGGGGAGCGAAAGGGAUUAGAUACCCCUGUAGUCCUAGCCGUAAACGAUGGAGACUAGGCGUAGCUUGUAUCGACCCAAGCUGUGCCGAAGCUAACGCGUUAAGUCUCCCGCUUGGGGAGUACGCACGCAAGUGUGAAACUCAAAGGAAUUGACGGGGGCCCGCACAAGCGGUGGAGUAUGUGGUUUAAUUCGAUGCAACGCGAAGAACCUUACCAGGGCUUGACAUCUGUAGAACCCCNGAUGAAAGUUGGGGGUGCCUUAGGGAGCUACAAGACAGGUGGUGCAUGGCUGUCGUCAGCUCGUGUCGUGAGAUGUUGGGUUAAGUCCCGCAACGAGCGCAACCCUCGUCCUUAGUUGCCAGCAUUAAGUUGGGCACUCUAGGGAGACUGCCGGUGACAAACCGGAGGAAGGUGGGGAUGACGUCAAGUCAGCAUGCCCCUUACGCCCUGGGCGACACACGUACUACAAUGGUCGGGACAAAGGGCAGCGAACCCGCGAGGGAGUGCGAAUCUCAACAGACCCGGCCUCAGUUCAGAUUGCUCUGUGCAACUCGAGAGCAUGAAGGAGGAAUCGCUAGUAAUCGCCGGUCAGCAUACGGCGGUGAAUUCGUUCCCGGGCCUUGUACACACCGCCCGUCACACCAUGGAAGCUGGCCACGCCCGAAGUCGUUACCCUAACCGUAAAAGGAGGGGGAUGCCGAAGGCAGGGCUAGUGACUGGGGUGAAGUCGUAACAAGGUAGCCGUACCGGAAGGUGUGGCUGGAUCACCUCCUU
rnacentral:rRNA from 1 species